UGAACAGCCAUGCCGCGUGAAGGAUGAAGGCCUUCUGGGUUGUAAACUUCUUUUAUGUGGGAAGAAAACUACGGUUUCUACUGUAGCCGACGGUACCUUAGGAAUAAGCACCGGCUAACUCCGUGCCAGCAGCCGCGGUAAUACGGAGGGUGCAAGCGUUAUCCGGAUUCACUGGGUUUAAAGGGUGUGUAGGCGGGCUAUUAAGUCAGUGGUGAAAUCUCCGAGCUCAACUUGAAACUGCCAUUGAUACUAUUAGUCUUGAAUUUGUUGAGGUGGCGGAAUAUAUCAUGUAGCGGUGAAAUGCUUAGAUAUGAUAUAGAACACCGAUUGCGAAGGCAGCUCACUAAGCAAUGAUUGACGCUGAGGCACGAAAGCGUGGGGAUCAAACAGGAUUAGAUACCCUGGUAGUCCACGCCCUAAACGAUGAUUACUCGACAUA
rnacentral:rRNA from 1 species